UAGCUGGUUGGUUCUGAGAAACCUCACACCACAGAUUGAUGGUUCAACACUGCGGACACUUUGCAUGCAACACGGGCCGCUCAUCACAUUCCAUCUCAACCUGACGCAGGGCAAUGCUGUGGUGCGCUACAGUUCUAAAGAGGAGGCUGCCAAAGCCCAGAAGUCCCUACACAUGUGUGUUCUGGGAAACACCACUAUACUGGCAGAGUUUGCUGG